rnacentral:rRNA from 1 species
CCUGAUCGGGCAUUCGAUACGAGUUGACUAGACGAAGGUAGGGAGAAGUGGAAUACCAUGGUGAGCGGUGGAAUGAGCAGAUAUCAGGAUGGAACACCAGUGGCGAAGGCAGUUCUCUGAUCCUUUCCUGACGCUGAGGAGAGAAAGCGUGGGGAGCGAACAGACUUAGAUACCAUGGUAGUGGUACUCUGUAAACGGUGGGUACUAGGUGUAGGGUCCAGUUCCACGGGUGCUGUGCUGUAGCUAACGCUUUAAGUACCCCGCCUGGGGAGUACGGCCGCAAGGCUAAAACUCAUAGGAAUUGACGGGGCCGCGCACAAGCGGCGGAGCAUGCGGAUUAAUUAGAUGCAACGCGUAGAACCUUACCUGGGUUCGACAUGGAUCGGGAGUGUUCAGAGAUGGGUGUGCCUCUUUUGGGGUCGGUUCACACGUGGUGCACGGCUGUCUUCAGCUCGUGUCGUGAGAUGUUGGGUUAAAUCCCGCAACGAGCGCAACCCCUUUUCCCUGUUUCCAGCACGUUAUGGUGGGGAAUCAGUGGAGACCGCCGGGGUCAACUCGGAGGAAGGUGGGGAUGACGUCAAGUCAUCAUGCCCCCUAUGUCCAGGGCUUCACGCAUGCUACAAAGGGUGGUACAGAGAGGGGCGAGCCUGUGAGGGUGAGCGAAUCUCGGAAAACCGGUUUCAGUUCGGAAUGGGGUUUGCAACUUGGCCUCCAGAAAUUGGAGUCGCUAGUAAUUGCAGAUCAGCAACGCCGCGGUGAAUACGUUCCCGGGCCUUGUACACACCGCCCGUCAAGUCAUGAAAGUUGGUAACACCAGAAGCCGGAGGCCUACCCCAAGGGGGGAGCCGUCCUAGUAGAGAUCGGUGCUCGGCCUG